rnacentral:lncRNA from 1 species
GGUAAAUGGACAUGGAGCUGGAAAUCAAUCAAGGUUGGUGAUAACUGCUUGAAACUUCACACACUCAAUCAAUUCUCUGUGGGCACUCUCUGGUUUGUUCCUUGUGAAAUUAGUAAUAAGCUGAAGCAUGCAAUACAAAUUUAUCUGAGAACACUUUAGGAGAAAACAGGGAAAUAUGCAUGUACUGAAAUAGCUCUCCCUAUUAUUUUGUCAGAUUUCUUUGAAACUGCCCACGAUUCGUCUGUAAGCUUACCCCAUUAGAC